rnacentral:rRNA from 1 species
AGCGAACGCUGGCGGCAGGCCUAACACAUGCAAGUCGAGCGGCAGCGGGUUCCCGCGAGGGGAUGCCGGCGAGCGGCGGACGGGUGAGGAACACAUCGGAAUCUGCCUGGUUGUGGGGGAUAACGUAGGGAAACUUACGCUAAUACCGCAUGCGACCCUGAGUCGACGGACUGGGGGUGAAAGUGAGGGACCUUCGGGCCUCACGCGACCAGAUGAGCCGAUGUCGGAUUAGCUAGUUGGCGGGGUAACGGCCCGCCAAGGCGACGAUCCGUAGCUGGUCUGAGAGGAUGAUCAGCCACACUGGGACUGAGACACGGCCCAGACUCCUACGGGAGGCAGCAGU